rnacentral:rRNA from 1 species
GUGGGGAAUUUUGGACAAUGGGCGCAAGCCUGAUCCAGCAAUGCCGCGUGCAGGAAGAAGGCCUUCGGGUUGUAAACUGCUUUUGUACGGAACGAAACGGUCCGGGUUAAUACCCUGGGCUAAUGACGGUACCGUAAGAAUAAGCACCGGCUAACUACGUGCCAGCAGCCGCGGUAAUACGUAGGGUGCAAGCGUUAAUCGGAAUUACUGGGCGUAAAGCGUGCGCAGGCGGUUUUGUAAGACAGGCGUGAAAUCCCCGGGCUCAACCUGGGAAUUGCGCUUGUGACUGCAAGGCUGGAGUGCGGCAGAGGGGGAUGGAAUUCCGCGUGUAGCAGUGAAAUGCGUAGAUAUGCGGAGGAACACCGAUGGCGAAGGCAAUCCCCUGGACCUGUACUGACGCUCAUGCACGAAAGCGUGGGGAGCAAACAGGAUUAGAAACCCCGGUAGUCC